UAAUGCACAACAUAUUGUGCUGUUUUUUUAUAGAAAUAUUCGUUCCCUUCAACACACGCAUCAAGGAAUUAAUCCCAGCCCAAAUAAAUUACCCUUUCUAUCUAAAAUUCUUUUUUGAUUUGAAUUCCCCCAAAUUAGAAUUCCCGUUAGAAAAAAAGCAUCACUCCCAUUAACCGCCUCACUGUCUAGUCUCGAUUUCUCCGGCUGCGACGACGCCUCCGAUUCCGGCUGCUCAUCGUGGCUCCAGGCGCCGCCGACGUCGAAGCAAUCUCCGUUCCCAGCGGCGCGUUACUGAGUGGUAGUGUUGGGGGCGAAGUUGUAGUUUGUGAUAAUGCGUGCAAAUUAAGCAACAAAAAAUGGGUGUAGGUGAUUAGGUGUAGUGUUUAUUUAAAUCGACGAGGCGGGAUACACGUCACCGUAGACCUCCUCACGGACUCACCGUCUGAUUUCGGUGCCACCGAUUCUCUCUGAGCGGCUCUCCAGAAUCCACCAAGCAGUCGUUGCAGCGGUGGACUGCCGUGGACUUCUCGGCCUAACUAAGUUAUCGGAAGUCAAACUGUAUUAUCUAUCAUCGUAUCAAGCAGACGACACUGGUCUAAUUUUUAUAUUGCUUGAUGAUGUGAAGAUAUCAGAACAACUGAUUGACCUGGUCUUCUAUCUGCUAGUUCUACUUGGUCCAUACAGAGAUGAAUCUCACACCAUACCCAAUGGCAUGGUUCUUCUUCAUUCGGCUCUGGUAGCUUGUAUUAUAAAAUUGUUUCUCCACACUACCAAGAGGUUGCUCAAGCAUUGACUGCAUAUUACAAGGUAGCAAUCCAGGAUUUGGUGAAAACUAAGAAUAUUAAAUUACUUGUUUAAUGGUGGACAUAUUCAUAGAGGCAGAAUUUGCUGCUGUUUGUGUAGAUGUCAAGUUUCUGCAGACCAACGAUUCAUUUGGAAGUGCUUUCCCUACUACUGAAGAGACCUUGAAUCACCUCUGCCAGAGUGUGAUUCUUCUCUUCAAUUUCUACAGUCUUUGUGUCAGCAAAAGUUGUUCCCGGAAUGCAUUGUGAAUAACAAGAUUUUAUCCUUUCAUCUGAUUAGAGUUUUCACUGCCUGAAAGCAUUGACAUUUCUUUAAAAUGUCAAAUGUGGUGAAUACAUGUUUCUGCUCCAGGGAACUUGAGCUGGAAUUUCUAUUUUGUAUACAUGUUUCUGCUCCAGGGACUCCAUUUAUUUCUGUCCAAGUGAGAUAGUAAGAGAUUCCAUAAUCAGCUUGAUUUGCUUAUGUGGCUGCAGCUUUAUCUGAUGCAUGUUGAUCUGUUGCACCUUUGUGAAGCUGAAAGUGUAUCCUACCUGGAAGAGGUGACCAGCAAAACAUCAACUCAGGAUGUGGCAAAGUCUGUUGGACUCAAGGUUCUUGCGUUGCUAAAAAAAAUGUUUAAUGCUCCCUCUUAGGCAAGCUACCCGAGGGGCAACUGGAACUUAAUGCAAUGCGCUUGGCAGAUGUCUUGUCAGAUGAUUCAAAUUUUCUGUCAUUCAUCAUGAUAAACUUUAUGAGAAGGAUCUGUCAACAAGCUCGUUCGGUUCUUAUGGAAGGACUAUCAGAAACUGUCAGAUGGAUUCUUCUCUCUACUUCAAAGCUGACAAAGUUCACUAUUAAGUCAUGAUUUUUGAAUGAAGAUGAUGUACAACUGCUGAGGUAAUUUCAAUAUAGGUAAUCUUCUUCGUGGGUUAUUUAUAAGUCAUUUUGUGUCCCGGAUCGUUCGUGCUGCAUCUGAAGAUCAUUUAGUCCAUGACUAGCUUCGUAUAUUGGACUCUCGGCCCAGAUGAAAAAAAGAGUAGCCCAAUGCUACAUUUUUUCCGGAAUAAGCUUCAUAAAAAAGGAGUUUUAAUGCAGAAAAGGAAGGUAGGAAGGUAGUUUUACAAGCAAGUAGUUUUCCCGUACGUAUUCGAGGAUUCUGGUAACUCUACAUCAAAUCCUAGUCUUUGAGGAUUCUGGCUUCAGCAUCAGAAGCUCAGGACUAGAUAUCUUUUUAUUAUAAAUAACUUGUCCACUGCAAAUGUUGAGGCUAAAGCUAAAGAGUUUAUUGAAAUUUUGAAUUUUAUACUAUCCGUCCAUGUUUGGAACAGGCUCCAGCAUCAGAAGCUCAGGACUAGAUAUCUGGUUUGCGUUGUAUAUAGUUAUGGAGAGGGAGAGAUUUAGCUUAACUUGUCCACUGCAAAUGUUGAGGCUAAAGCUAAAGAGUUUAUUGAAAUUUUGAAUUUUAUACUAUCCGUCCAUGUUUGGAACAGGCUCCAGCAUCAGAAGCUCAGGACUAGAUAUCUGGUUUGCGUUGUAUAUAGUUAUGGAGAGGGAGAGAUUUAGCUUGACACUACAUUCCUUACCUUAAAUAGUUCUCUGGAUGCAAUAUCUCUGUUCUCUGAACAGAGAUAUUGUGCAAGCCAUUUAUGUAAACUGCAAGGUUUGAUUUUUCUACUUACUUUAUUCAUUUUGGAAAGGCGGUUUUUAUUCUUGGUAUUUGUACUAUGUCUAGGUUCUGUUUUAAACAGAACUUGUAAAAUCUAGUGUGGAAGAACUAUCACUGCUGAAAAUUUAGCAAGCUGGCUUGGGAAGAUUACUAUUGGAAAAAAUCAAGUUCUAAGGGAACGAGUGAUAGAUUCUUCUUUUCGUCUGUUUUAUUUUUGAGUUUACUUCAUAAACUUGGAGCUGGGUUGUCUGAAAUCCUCAUGUUGCAAUAAAUAUUAUUAUCUCAUCUUCUUGAUUCAAAAUUUUUUCUGACACAUGGAAGUAUAUUAUUUGUUGAAUGCUUUUAAGGGACUCAGGAUGCCUGUUAAUCGUUUUACCUCAAAGAUUUUCAAAGCCUGUUCAAACAGCAUUGCAUACGGGCCUCCUCACCGUUGGGCAGUGGUUCUGUUUAAGCAUUUAAGUGUUGACCUCAAGUGACCUCAAGGAUGUCACACCCUCUUCUCUUCUAAAGGAUGUAGUUUGACAAUUUGAAGGAUCAGUCAUUAAGCAUCAACCUUUUACUCACCUUAUGCUGGGCAUUGCUUUACAAGCUAUUUCAGUUGCUCAUACUGAACCUGAUGUUGGCCAUAGUUCCAAUACUAAUCACCGACCCGGUCUUAUUCAAUCUUCUGCUCCACAGAUUGAGAUUGCAGGCUCUGGAUUAGCAAUUCCCUCUUUGAUCCCACUACAACAGAGACCACCAAGUUCUCUAGAUGAGAGUGGACUCCUAAUUUCAUGAAGCCAACACAAUACACCUACCCUUCCCUAG